rnacentral:rRNA from 1 species
AACGAACGCUGGCGGCAUGCCUAACACAUGCAAGUCGAACGAUCCCUUCGGGGAUAGUGGCGCACGGGUGCGUAACGCGUGGGAAUCUGCCCUUGGCGUCGGAAUAACAGUUAGAAAUGACUGCUAAUACCGGAUGAUGUCUUCGGACCAAAGAUUUAUCGGCCAGGGAUGAGCCCGCGUAGCAUUAGGUAGUUGGUGAGGUAAAGGCUCACCAAGCCGACGAUCCUUAGCUGGUCUGAGAGGAUGAUCAGCCACACUGGGACUGAGACACGGCCCAGACUCCUACGGGAGGCAGCAGUGGGGAAUAUUGGACAAUGGGCGCAAGCCUGAUCCAGCAACGCCGCGUGAGUGAUGAAGGCCUUCGGGUCGUAAAGCUCUUUUACCAGGGAUGAUAAUGACAGUACCUGGAGAAUAAGCUCCGGCUAACUCCGUGCCAGCCGCCGCCGCAG